rnacentral:lncRNA from 1 species
GGAAGCGGAGGCUGAGCGAAGGAUCAGCCCAAGAACUCACGGCAGGAAAGAAGCCUAGGUCUGUCUGCUCACAGACAUCCGCCAGCCACCACACCCCCUGUGCUGCUUCUGCCUGACCCCUAGGCUCAUCCCAGCCCACAAUUGGGGGGAGGUGCCACCGGACACAGCUGGGAGACCACCCUCACUCACGCUGUGCCCCACCCCCAAGUGUUCUCACCGCUGGGUGAAUCCUGCAGAUGCCUUUCCAUCGCAGCCUAUUAAAUUAGCCCCUCUCUGCAGCCAAAAGAAGAUAAUUACGUUUUCAUUAGCCCUGGAUAAUGUAUUACCCCCUCCGUGACAGCCACAUCGGCAAAUGAACCUGUUCUCUUCUCUCGGCUCCACCAGAGGGCCCUCCUCCCCCCAGGCCCACCUCUGAGCUGAGGGGUAAGGACUAGUGAGGGUCCAGGGACAGGGAGAGGGGACAACCCCUUCACCUACCCAAGACCCACACAAGGAUUAAGGGACAAGGCCCUGAGAAGACCUCAGAAGAGCUGUCAUCACCGUGACCACUUAUAGAAUGUCAUGCAGAUGCCUGGAGGUGCCUCUGCCAGCGUAGGCAUCCUCAGUCCUGGAGAAGGGUGGCAUUGCCACCAUCACCCCUCCCCUGAACCUGGAGCCGGCAGGGGAGCAUGAGUGCCCAUAGCCACCUUGAAGUCACCACGGCCAAGGAGCAUUUGGGGGACUGUCACUGUGCAUCAUCCCAGGAACACCUGGUUGAUGGUAAAAAAAAAAAAAGAAAUCUCUGGUCUUUUGCUUCCUGAUGUAGGGUCACUCAUGCUACCCAGCCUUAAUGUGGAAGGUCCCCAGACAUCAGGAGCCACUCUGCAAAAUGCCUGACUCACCCCACAAGAUCGUUCUGCCAGGGUCUCUCUCCCCCCUUUCUCCACAAGGAUUCGGGGCAGGGGGUGGGGAAAUGGAGCCUGACUUUGGGGUCCCAGGACCUGAGUUCUAAGUCCUUCUCUGUCACCCAUCACUGAGAAACUGGAACAGGUGGCUUUGCCUGCAGAGACUGUUUUCCCUCCCGUUAAACAGGAAUAAGGAAGAGAGUCGUCGCAUCAUUUUUAUCACAAUUAAAU